rnacentral:rRNA from 1 species
CCUACGGGUGGCUGCAGUGGGGAAUAUUGGGCAAUGGACGCAAGUCUGACCCAGCAACGCCGCGUGAAGGAAGAAGGCUUUCGGGUUGUAAACUUCUUUUAAGGGGGAAGAGUAGAAGACGGUACCCCUUGAAUAAGCCACGGCUAACUACGUGCCAGCAGCCGCGGUAAUACGUAGGUGGCAAGCGUUGUCCGGAUUUACUGGGUGUAAAGGGCGUGCAGCCGGGAAGGCAAGUCAGAUGUGAAAUCUGGAGGCUCAACCUCCAAACUGCAUUUGAAACUGCUUUUCUUGAGUAUCGGAGAGGUAAUCGGAAUUCCUUGUGUAGCGGUGAAAUGCGUAGAUAUAAGGAAGAACACCAGUGGCGAAGGCGGAUUACUGGACGACAACUGACGGUGAGGCGCGAAAGCGUGGGGAGCAAACAGGCUUAGAUACCCCAGUAGUC